UGCGUGCUGAAUAGCGUGAAUUCAGUUUCAGGAAGAUAAUUAUCAAUCUGAAUAUAAACGUCCAACGACCCUUUUUUUUUACUUUUCUUUAUGAAGACGACGUUAUAACAUAAUAUUAUCAGAGAACUUCAAAUCAUUUUGCUCUUUUUAUAUGAAACAAACAACAUACUUUUUAAUUUUGCAAGUAUUAUGUUUAAUGUUGGCGAUCUUAAUUUAGAAUUGAGUUGGCUCUCAGAAACAAUUUCAAAGGUUCUCCAAAAUAAGCACUGUUGCCACAUGCAAUUUAUGUAUUUAUUAAAAACAUCCAUUACAAAAUUCGAUGCGUAAUAAAAAAUAUAGUCGAACAAUACAAUAAAAAGUAUUGUAAUAUUGCUGAAUCAAUAUUAUUAAAUGAUUUCCUUUGGCUUG
rnacentral:lncRNA from 1 species